GGAUGAACGCUGGCGGCGUGCCUAAUACAUGCAAGUCGAGCGAACAGAUGAGGAGCUUGCUCCUCUGACGUUAGCGGCGGACGGGUGAGUAACACGUGGAUAACCUACCUAUAAGACUGGGAUAACUUCGGGAAACCGGAGCUAAUACCGGAUAAUAUAUUGAACCGCAUGGUUCAAUAGUGAAAGACGGUUUUGCUGUCACUUAUAGAUGGAUCCGCGCCGCAUUAGCUAGUUGGUAAGGUAACGGCUUACCAAGGCAACGAUGCGUAGCCGACCUGAGAGGGUGAUCGGCCACACUGGAACUGAGACACGGUCCAGACUCCUACGGGAGGCAGCAGUAGGGAAUCUUCCGCAAUGGGUGAAAGCCUGACGGAGCAACGCCGCGUGAGUGAUGAAGGUCUUCGGAUCGUAAAACUCUGUUAUUAGGGAAGAACAAAUGUGUAAGUAACUAUGCACGUCUUGACGGUACCUAAUCAGAAAGCCACGGCUAACUACGUG
rnacentral:rRNA from 1 species